AUAAUCCAACCAAUCAUUUCAUUUGCAGAUGGGGAAAGAGAAGCUAGAGAAGGAUGGAACCUGCCUUAGAGGAAGAUGGAUAUACGGAUUGGACAGUACAUGUGGAAGUUUUAGCAAUGGGAUCGCAUAAUCCGACGGUUCCUUGGGACCCUCACCCACAUCUCGGAUGACCCGG
rnacentral:lncRNA from 1 species